GACGAACGCUGGCGGCGUGCUUAACACAUGCAAGUCGAACGGUGAAGCAGAGCUUGCUCUGUGGAUCAGUGGCGAACGGGUGAGUAACACGUGAGUAACCUGCCCUUGACUCUGGGAUAAGCGUUGGAAACGACGUCUAAUACCGGAUACGAGCUGAGACCGCAUGGUCAUCAAUUGGAAAGAUUUUUUGGUCAAGGAUGGACUCGCGGCCUAUCAGCUUGUUGGUGAGGUAAUGGCUCACCAAGGCGACGACGGGUAGCCGGCCUGAGAGGGUGACCGGCCACACUGGGACUGAGACACGGCCCAGACUCCUACGGGAGGCAGCAGUGGGGAAUAUUGCACAAUGGGCGCAAGCCUGAUGCAGCAACGCCGCGUGAGGGAUGACGGCCUUCGGGUUGUAAACCUCUUUUAGUAGGGAAGAAGCGAAAGUGACGGUACCUGCAGAAAAAGCACCGGCUAACUACGUG
rnacentral:rRNA from 1 species